rnacentral:lncRNA from 1 species
CCACCCCCAAAAAACAAUAAAUUAGUAUGAUCAAAGUAGCCUUGCACGCAAUCUGAUGUCCAGGUGGGCCUUCUUUGAACCAGACGUAUGCACCCAAACGAGAAAUAUUCCGCCGGUUCGACCAUGCCCUCCACAUGUUUGAUGGAAUGCCGAGCUGGGAUGGUCGUCCCGUGCUAGAGCUUCGCUGCUGUGAGGCACUCCUCCGUCGGCACGUCGCAUGUCACACUGCCCGCAGCCCAUACCGGAGGGUGCACGCGGAGUUGAAGUGCGAUUCUCGUCAAACAGCAUCACCUUUUGUUCUGCCAACCGGUAUUCUGCCCAUCUCCUCCUAACAUUUUGUUAGUUUGGGGAAAAGAACUGUAUUGGCUUCAGAUUUGGGGUAAGUUGGAAGUAUUUUUGUUGCUUAAACACACUUCAAAUCUGAAUAACAGCAGCCAUUUCAUAGAUUCACAUAAGUUGAGGGAGAAAUCAUGUUCACUAAUUUGUAUGCAAUUUACAUGUUUGAUUAAAUGCUUUUCUAUCUCCACUGUUGCUUGAAUGCAUACUUUACUACAACACAAGGUUUUGCAGCUAAACAAACAUCAAAAUACUGGGCAACCUUCAAUAACAACACCCUUGGCUGUCGGGCAGGAAGCCAGAGGACACCCAUCCAAGUCAUUUCCCGGCCAACUGAGAUUGACGUUCUCCAGCCCCAAGCACAGGUACAGCAACACUCCCAUGAAUGCCAGCCCAGCGUCCAGAGCACCUGAGAGCACAUAAUUGUGCCGCUGCCACCAAUC